rnacentral:rRNA from 1 species
GGGUGGUAAUGCCGGAUGCUCCAGUUGAUCGCAUGGUCUUCUGGGAAAGCCUUUGCGGCAUGGGAUGGGGUCGCGUCCUAUCAGCUUGAUGGCGGGGUAACGGCCCACCAUGGCUUCGACGGGUAGCCGGCCUGAGAGGGCGACCGGCCACAUUGGGACUGAGAUACGGCCCAGACUCCUACGGGAGGCAGCAGUGGGGAAUAUUGCACAAUGGGCGCAAGCCUGAUGCAGCGACGCCGCGUGAGGGAUGGAGGCCUUCGGGUUGUAAACCUCUUUUGUUAGGGAGCAAGGCAUUUUGUGUUGAGUGUACCUUUCGAAUAAGCACCGGCUAACUACGUGCCAGCAGCCGCGGUAAUACGUAGGGUGCAAGCGUUAUCCGGAAUUAUUGGGCGUAAAGGGCUCGUAGGCGGUUCGUCGCGUCCGGUGUGAAAGUCCAUCGCUUAACGGUGGAUCCGCGCCGGGUACGGGCGGGCUUGAGUGCGGUAGGGGAGACUGGAAUUCCCGGUGUAACGGUGGAAUGUGUAGAUAUCGGAAAAGAAACACCA